CCUACGGGAGGCAGCAGUGAGGAAUAUUGGUCAAUGGGCGAGAGCCUGAACCAGCCAAGUCGCGUGAGGGAAGACGGUCCUAUGGAUUGUAAACCUCUUUUGCCGGGGAGCAAAAAGCGGUACGUGUACCGCAUCGAGAGUACCCGGAGAAAAAGCAUCGGCUAACUCCGUGCCAGCAGCCGCGGUAAUACGGAGGAUGCGAGCGUUAUCCGGAUUUAUUGGGUUUAAAGGGUGCGUAGGCGGAACAUUAAGUCAGCGGUAAAAUCGAGGGGCUCAACCCCUUUAAGCCGUUGAAACUGGUGAUC
rnacentral:rRNA from 1 species